GAUAAACGCUGGCGGCGUGCUUAACACAUGCAAGUCGAACGAAGAUUUUCUUUCGGGAGGAACUUAGUGGCGGACGGGCGAGUAACGCGUGGGUAACCUGCCCUGUACAGGGGGACAACAGCUGGAAACGGCCGCUAAUACCGCAUAAGCCCGUAGCACUGCAUGGUGCAUGGGGAAAAGGAGCAAUCCGGGACAGGAUGGACCCGCGUCUGAUUGGCCAGUUGGCAGGGGAACGGCCUAACAAAGCGACGAUCGGUAGCCGAUCUGAGGGGCUGCACGGCUACGUUUGGACUGCGACACGGCCCCGACUCCUACGCGAGGCAGCAGUGGGUAGUAUUGCACGAUGGAGGCUACUCUGAUGCAGCGGCGUCGCGUGAGUGAAGAAGUAUUUCGGUAUGUAAAGCUCUAUCAGCAGGAGAGAAAAUGACGGUACCGGACUAAGAAGCACCGGCUAACUACGUG
rnacentral:rRNA from 1 species